UAGAUUUCAUCCUUGGGCUGACUGGACUUCCUUCUCCUCCCUUCCAGGAACGAGAGGAUGAGUUGCGUGCCAUGGCUCGGAAGAUCCGGAUGAAGUAAUCCCUUGGAUUUUCUCGUCCUUUGGGGUGGGGGUGGCGGGGCGCCUCAUCCCUGCUGAUAUCCCCUUUUUUUUCCUUCUCUGCAGGGAGCGGGAACGGCGGGAGAAGGAGCGGGAAGAGUGGGAGCGACAGUACAGCCGCCACAGCCGCUCGCCUUCUCCGCGCUACAGUCGAGAACACAGCAGCUCCAGAAGG
rnacentral:lncRNA from 1 species